rnacentral:rRNA from 1 species
AGAGUUUGAUCCUGGCUCAGGAUGAACGCUAGCGGCAGGCCUAAUACAUGCAAGUCGAACGGGAUCGGCGCCUUCGGGCGCCGUGAGAGUGGCGCACGGGUGCGUAACGCGUAUGCAACCCACCCCGUCCUGCGGGAGAGCCGGUGGAAACGCCGGGUGAUACCGCAUGAAGCCGGUUGCGGGCAUCCGCUUCCGGUGAAAGCAGCGAUGCGGGAGGGGACGGGCAUGCGUUCCAUUAGCUAGUCGGCGGGGUGACGGCCCACCGAGGCGACGAUGGAUAGGGGAUCUGAGAGGACGGUCCCCCACACUGGUACUGAGACACGGACCAGACUCCUGCGGGAGGCAGCAGUAAGGGAUAUUGGGCAAUGGGGGGAACCCUGACCCAGCCAUGCCGCGUGAGGGAGUGAGGCCCUACGGGUCGUGAACCUCUUUUGGAGGGGGAUAAAGCGCUCCGCUUGACGGUGCGUUGCAGGUACCCUCCGAAUAAGCAUCGGCUAACUCCGUGCCAGCAGCCGCGGUAAUACGGAGGAUGCGAGCGUUAUCCGGAUUUAUUGGGUUUAAAGGGUGCGUAGGCGGCCUGUUAAGUCAGCGGUGAAAUCUAGGAGCUUAACUCCUAAAUUGCCAUUGAUACUGGCGGGCUUGAGUGUAGAUGAGGUAGGCGGAAUGCGUGGUGUAGCGGUGGAAUGCAUAGAUAUCACGCAGAACUCCGAUUGCGAAGGCAGCUUACUAAGGUACAACUGACGCUGAAGCACGAAAGCGUGGGUAUCAAACAGGAUUAGAUACCCUGGUAGUCCACGCAGUAAACGAUGAUAACUGGGCGUAUGCGAUAUACAGUAUGCUCCUAAGCGAAAGCGUUAAGUUAUCCACCUGGGGAGUACGCCGGCAACGGUGAAACUCAAAGGAAUUGACGGGGGCCCG